CUACGGGAUGCAGCAGUCGAGGAAAUUUUACAAUGCUCGAAAGAGUGAUAAAAUGAGCCAAAGUGUUUCUUUCUAAAGAAACUUUUAUUUGUUGUAAAAAGACAGAUGAAUAAGGACUGGGAAAGACCGGUGCCAGCCGCCGCGGUAAUACCGGCGGUCCAAGUCGCAUCCACAUUUAUUGGGUCUAAAACAUCCGUAGCUUGUUUUAUAAGUCUCUUGUGAAAUUCUAUACCUCAAAUAUAGAGCGUGCAAGAGAUACUAUUUUACUAGAGACCGGAAGACGCAAAGAGUAUAAUCAAGGUAGUGGUAAAAUACGUUAAUCUUGAUUAGACUAACAAUAGCGAAGGCACUUUGCGAGUACGGAUCUGACAGUGAGGGAUGAAGGCUAGGGGCGCAAAAGGGAUUAGAUACCCCUGUAGUC
rnacentral:rRNA from 1 species